rnacentral:lncRNA from 1 species
GAUAUUUUUACUUCCUGCGAACAAUUUUCGUGAAAUUUAUUUGGUUAACCGCGUAAAAUUAAAUACCGACGGAAUUCUGACGAAAAUAAACCGACGGAUCCAUAUGCUUCGGAAUUCGGUCGGAUAGGUUUUAAAGACAAAACCUGACACUUCUUCCUCCUCUUCAUUUCUAUGGAUCAACUCAACUCUCUUCUCUCCCGGCGAUUCUUCCCUCUCCCACCGCGAAUCUCUCUCCCUCCAGCGAAUCUCUCUCUCAAA